CAGCAGCCACGGUAACACGUAGGGCGCAAGCGUUGUCCGGAAUCAUUGGGCGUAAAGAGCUCGUAGGUGGUUUGUCACGUCUGCUGUGAAAACUCGGGGCUUAACCCCGAGCUUGCAGUGGAUACGGGCAGACUAGAGGUAGGUAGGGGAGAAUGGAAUUCCCGGUGUAGCGGUGAAAUGCGCAGAUAUCGGGAGGAACACCGGUGGCGAAGGCGGUUCUCUGGGCCUUACCUGACACUGAGGAGCGAAAGCGUGGGGAGCGAACAGGAUUAGAGACCCCCGUAGUCCCUGUCUCUUAUAC
rnacentral:rRNA from 1 species